UACGUAGGGAGCAAGCGUUGUCCGGAAUCAUUGGGCGUAAAGCGCGCGUAGGUGGCUUCAUAAGUCCGUUGUGAAAGUCAAAGGCUCAACCUUUGAAAGCCGAUGGAUACUGUGAAGCUAGAGUACGGAAGAGGCGAGUGGAAUUCCUGGUGUAGCGGUGGAAUGCGCAGAUAUCAGGAGGAACACCAAUGGCGUAGGCAGCUCGCUGGGACGGUACUGACGCUGAGACGCGAAAGCGUGGGGAGCAAACAGG
rnacentral:rRNA from 1 species